UGGGGAAUUUUGGACAAUGGGCGAAAGCCUGAUCCAGCAAUGCCGCGUGUGUGAAGAAGGCCUUCGGGUUGUAAAGCACUUUUGUCCGGAAAGAAAUCCUUGGCUCUAAUACAGUCGGGGGAUGACGGUACCGGAAGAAUAAGCACCGGCUAACUACGUGCCAGCAGCCGCGGUAAUACGUAGGGUGCAAGCGUUAAUCGGAAUUACUGGGCGUAAAGCGUGCGCAGGCGGUUUGCUAAGACCGAUGUGAAAUCCCCGGGCUCAACCUGGGAACUGCAUUGGUGACUGGCAGGCUAGAGUAUGGCAGAGGGGGGUAGAAUUCCACGUGUAGCAGUGAAAUGCGUAGAGAUGUGGAGGAAUACCGAUGGCGAAGGCAGCCCCCUGGGCCAAUACUGACGCUCAUGCACGAAAGCGUGGGGAGCAAACAGGAUUCAGAUACCCUGGUAGUCCACGCCCUAAACGAUGUCAACUAGUUGUUGGGGAUUCAUUUCCUUAGUAACGUAGCUAACGCGUGAAGUUGACCGCCUGGGGAGUACGGUCGC
rnacentral:rRNA from 1 species